rnacentral:lncRNA from 1 species
GCUGCAGUGGCACCAACGGUGCGGGAGAGGGCUGGGAGGAAGAGCAGGAUGACACACAGACUGAGGAAGGCCUGCGGGAGAGGAAAACAGAGGGGACAGAAAGAUCCACUCAUGCCCCAUAACUUCCCUGCCUGCUGCCAACUUCCUUGUCAUGGAUGUGAAAAGGCCAUCACUUGAAGAUAGUUGAGAUGUUCAUUCCAAGAACUGACAUCUCCCCUUGCCAGACCCCUUCUGAAAACCCCUCCAAGGCCCGUCUGUUAGUCUGCAGACAGGAAUUUGCACGUCCACAGUGACCAUAACAUUAAAUUUAUCUGUAUCUGCGGUCUUUCUCGAGGUGCCUGGUAAUCAACAGCUUUCUUCUCUCUCUUUGUCAAGCAAUUCCAGUGCAACAAUUAUCAUGAAUCAUCCAUUUUGUAUAUAUCUCAAUGACUGGUUGGGCUUAUUUUCACAUGAAUACACACAUCCCAUAGCACUGCUUGGUAGCUUGAAGCAAAAUGUGGUCAUAUGUUGUCCAAUAAUGACAUGAUUGCAUUUUUGUCUGUACUUUUUUUGCUCUUCUUGAUUUGGUCUGUUGCCACCAUUGUGAGAUGCACUGGACUAAUUGCCCAUCAGAUGACAGGAGAACGUGCAAGUCCUUGAAAGUGGAAGCUUGGUUUAUAUGGAUGAGAAUGGAAC